rnacentral:lncRNA from 1 species
AUUAGCAGGAAAUACCAAGAGUUUCCAAGGGGACAGGAGCAGAGGCCCCUCGGAUCUUUGAGGUUGUCAUCUUCCUUUGCAAGUUUAGUCCUAAACCCGCUGACAACAAUCCAGUCUUCAGGAUGGAGGGCUGUCGGGAGCCCAGGGUAUCCUUGGUCAGACCGUGAGGCAUGUGAUACGGAGCCACGGAGGGCGGCAGAGUCCUUCUCAGAGAUCCGUCCACGCCACCAGCCCCAGGUCGACCGGAGGGUGUGUGGAAGCAGGAAAUUCAGGGGCUACAGUGAAACCCCGACUCUAGCUUCUCUGUUGCCAGUGAGUGACAGCUGGAUGUCAGGGGACUCACAAAUGUGGACUCAUACAAGGUUGGCAAAAGCGACAGGCUCAGAGGAACUGGCCCCAACUCAAACUAGGGUGCCCCCCCACUCUUGGCUCCCCCAAACCCGCAAGCCCUCACUUACCCGGCAGAAGCCUACUGCUCCCCUCCAAAAGCAGAGACAGCCGUGGAUUUUAAGACCUGAGAUGAUGCAUCACUGUGGCUGUAACACUGGACUGAAUCUUGUUCUGUGUUCUAUGUAUCAUAUUCUCUGACAUAAAAAGGCAUUUCAGAGCAAAACAAAACACCAAACACAAGUUAAGAGCCACUGGAGUUACAUACGCAGGGAAGAGCAAAGGCCUCCAAGAAGGUGUGGUCAAAUGAACAGGAAGCUUUCCAAAGAACAGGGGCAAAUUCAGAAGAACGGGUAAGUUCAGAAGCUGGUGGUCCAGGUGAAUGUGGACCCCAAGGUCCAGUUCUGGGUUUUGCUUUGAGCUGCAAGCGUCAUCACUUUGUUCAAAACCCCCAGAGUUUUAUGUUUAUAAUAAAUGUAUUGCCUUGAUCA